rnacentral:rRNA from 1 species
ACCGGCAGCUCAAGUGGUGGCCAUUUUUAUUGGGCCUAAAGCGUUCGUAGCCGGUUUGAUAAGUCUCUGGUGAAAUCCCGCAGCUUAACUGUGGGACUUGCUGGAGAUACUAUUAGACUUGAGGUCGGGAGAGGUUAGGGGUACUCCCAGGGUAGGGGUGAGAGCAAAGAACCGGGAGAGGAGCAACGAUGGCGAGGGCGGCUAACUGGAUUGGACCUCUUGUUGAGUCACGUAAUUCAGUGGUGCCAAUGA